GGGGUCGUUUAUGGUUUCGACAGGGUAUAGUUUUGUAUUAUAUGCAGUGGUGGUUAAACCUAAAUAACAAACAGUUAAAAUAACUGACAAUACAAAUUAUAAUACUGCUUUAGCAUUUGCCUAAUUAAAGGCUCGCAAGCACUGGCCUAGAACUAAAUCUACAGAGUUUUAACGCUGGUUCAUAAUAGUAGAUUAUAUUUAAUAGAUUGCUUAGUUUAUUAAACGAAUCCUAUAAGCUUAGUUAAUGAUAUUUUGAUGAUUUCUUACCAUUAAUGAAACAACAAAUCAUCUAAACUUGUAGAUUAUAAUAUGAAAGUAUCUUGGACAAGGGUUCAACUCCCUUCGACUCCACCA
rnacentral:tmRNA from 1 species